AUGGAACUUUGAGGAAGGAAAUCUGCAUUACUCCUUGAGAGAGGGAAAGCAGAGGGUCCAAGUUCAUCUUUGAAUUGUUCUUGAGUCUUUUAUUUGGUUGCUAUUAGUUUGAGUAAUUUUUGCUUUGAAUCUGUAAUCGCGAUCAAUACUCUAUUGAUCCACGAAGAGUCUCAAUAAUUCGUGUAAGUUUUCAUAUUAUAUCAACAUAUACGAACACUGCUGUGGUGUUCUAUCAUAAUUCUGAGAUACUGAGCUUCGUUUAAGAUCCUUCACUGUGGCCAAACCGAGUUUGUGAGUUGAACCUUUCAUGUAUUUAUGAGAAAUGUUUCUCUAUCUAUUUGAAGUCUGUUUGAUGGAGCAUUUGGUUGGGAAGAGAUGACUAACUUUUAGUGGAAAGGCGAAGGACUGGUGAAGCCCUGAAGGGGUGUUGAAGUUGGCUAAAGUUUAUGUGUUGAAUUGAAUUUCUUUAAGAGAGUGGGUUUUUUUUUUUUUUUUUGUAGCUUGAUUUUUAAAUUUGAAUUAUGUUUAUUAUACUAUAAUUAUUUAUAAACCCUAAACCCUAAUAGCAUUUUAGUAUCACGAAGUUGGAUUAUUUUGUUGCAGAUGGAAUUUGUGUCUAGAGCAUUGAGCAUCCUGGUUGCGUUUGGGAUGCCAAGUUUUUGGAAAAUGGAGAUAUUGUCACAGCUUGUUUAGAUGGAGUAGUACGUGUCUGGACGGCAGAACAGGAAAGAAUUGCUGAUCCCCAAGAAUUGGAGUUAUUUGCUUCAAGACUGUCUCAGUAUAAGUUGAAGAGGAAGAGGGUUGGAGGAUUGAAAUUGGAAGAAUUAUCUGGGAUGGAUGCUUUACAAAUUCCAGGAAGAGGGUUGGAGGAUUGAAAUUGGAAGAAUUACCUGGGAUGGAUGCUUUACAAAUUCCAGGCUGUACUGGAGCUUGUCAUAAUCUUCCCACGUUGCCUCAUGAGGAGGGAGACCUUGCCAUUUAAUCAAAACCUCACAGCUUCCUCUUUUAUUCUUCGAGUACCCAGAUAUUUCCUCCGGUAUAGAUUUCCACUCAUGAGUUUCAGUAACGUAAGGCAGCAUGUCUGUCUGUACAAGUUGAUGAUCACCAACCAUUUUUUUGAGUUGGGACACAUGAAACACUGGAUGGAUGGAAGCGGAUGCUGGCAACUCUAGCUUAUACGCAACCAGUAUGAUGCGUUCCACAAUCGUAUAAGGCCCAAAGAACUUGGGGGAUAGUUUCUCAUUUUUCUUUUGUCGUAAUGAGAUCUGUCUAUAGGGCCUAAUCUUCAGGAAGACCAUAUCGCCAACUGCAUACUCCACAUCAUGACGCUUCAAGUCUACGUUAUUUUUCAUCUUGUCCUGUGCGACGAAUUAGUGUUCUUUUAGGACUCCCAGAAUUUCAACUCAUGCCUUGAGCUAUUCGUUUAAGGUAGUGUUUGGAGUGUCCCGGUCACCAUAAAACAUCAAUGGUGGUGGCAUACGUCCAUAGAUAGCCUGAAAUGGAGUGACCCCUACGGAUCUCUAAAAAGUAGUGUUGUACCAAUAUUCAGCCCAAUGUAUCCAUUUUGACCAUUCCUUAGGCCGUUCUCCACAAAAACAUCGCAGAUACGUCUCCACUCCCCUAUUAACCACCUCAGUUUUCCCAUCCGACUGAGGGUGAUAAGCGGUGCUUCGAUUUAAUCGGGUGCCUGCCAUUUUGAACAUUUCUUGCCAAAAGUUGCUCAAGAAUACCUUAUCUCGGUCGGACACUAUCGAUUUGGGAAAGCCAUGAAGUCGGACAAUCUCCUUAACAAAUAUAUUUGCUGAAUCUGUCCACCACUACAAAGAUGACUUCGAAACCAUUCGAUCUUGGUAAGCCCUCGAUAAAGUCCAUAGAUAUAUCGCUCCAAAUAUUGUUUGGACUGUCCAGGGACAGCAGCAGUCCG